CCUACGGGAGGCAGCAGUGGGGAAUAUUGCACAAUGGGGGAAACUCUGAAGCAGCGACGCCGCGUGAGUGAAGAAGUAACUCGUUAUGUAAAGCUCUAUUAGCAGGGAAGAAAAUGACGGUACCUGAGUAAGAAGCUCCGGCUAACUACGUGCCAGCAGCCGCGGUAAUACGUAGGGGGCAAGCGUUAUCCGGAUUUACUGGGUGUAAAGGGGGCGUAGUCGGCUGUGCAAGUCUGGAGUGAAAGGCGGGGGCUCAACCCCCGAACUGUUGUGGAAACUGUACGGCUGGAGUGCAGUAGAGGUAAGUGGAAUUCGUGGUGUAGCGGUGAAAUGCGUAGAUAUUAGGAAGAACACCGGUGGCGAAGGUAGCUUACUGGACUGUAACUGACGUUGAGGCUCGAAAGCGUGGGGAGCAAACAGGAUUAGAUACCCUGGUAGUC
rnacentral:rRNA from 1 species